rnacentral:rRNA from 1 species
GACGAACGCUGGCGGCGUGCUUAACACAUGCAAGUCGAACGGUGACGAGGAGCUUGCUCCUCUGAUCAGUGGCGAACGGGUGAGUAACACGUGAGCAACCUGCCCAGACUCUGGGAUAACAGUUGGAAACAGCUGCUAAUACCGGAUACGAGACGGAGAGGCAUCUCUACCGUCUGGAAAGUUUUUCGGUCUGGGAUGGACUCGCGGCCUAUCAGCUAGUUGGUGAGGUAAUGGCUCACCAAGGCGACGACGGGUAGCCGGCCUGAGAGGGCGACCGGCCACACUGGGACUGAGACACGGCCCAGACUCCUACGGGAGGCAGCAGUGGGGAAUAUUGCACAAUGGGCGAAAGCCUGAUGCAGCGACGCCGCGUGAGGGAUGAAGGCCUUGGUUGUAACCGUACUUUCUAGCAGGAAGAAG